AGGUAAAAAAGAAGAAAAAGGACGAGGCCGUGAUCAAGGAGAAGAUGCAGCGUACCUUCUCGCUUAGGAGGCAGCAGAUUCUCCAGGAGCCGAAGAUUCCAGAGUUCCUGAACAAAUGGCCAGCACUCUUUGACGUCAGUGAGAUCAACUUGGAGUUUAUGCGGCUGACGACUAUACCUCUGACCUCCAAAUUCCUUGGAGAACUGGACCGCCUGACCGACGACCUGAUCAGAGUUUUCCAUACCAAAGGUGGAGCUGCAGGAAGAAAGAUCAGAGCUGUGAGGGCAAAAACGGCUGAUAUAAGUAUUUUUUGGUCUAACCUAAUACAUAUAUGGUUUGUUUGACUCAGCCAUAUGGGAAAGCUCCUUUGUUAACGGUUUGGAAAAGGAUAGGCACUUUCAAAAUUACUGUGUUGUGAACGGGCUCAGACCUGUGUGAGUUUCGACUGAGUGGGGUGAAAUCAGGCGAGUUCAGGAUGGUCAAGGUGGGAAAUGUCAGUGGCUUGGCUGGCCUCAGCAUAUGCGUCUCGGACACAUUUAACAUUUGUUUCAGAGUGAAGACAUCAACGUGAGGCGUGAUUGUGUGCUGAGCUGUCUGAGCAUCUAUCUCAAUGAAGACCUGGACACACUGGUCAAAGAAUAUGUGGAAGUAAAUCCACAUGGUCCGGAAGAGCUUGAGGUUAAGGGUCAGGUCCUGGCACCUAAGCGUCUCCAAUAUGCCAGUGACGAUAAUUCUGCCCCAAACAAGAAGGUAAGGACACAGAAACUUGACAGUUCUCAUAAAGUAGCAGUUAUGUAA